rnacentral:rRNA from 1 species
UACGGAGGGUGCAAGCGUUAUCCGGAUUUACUGGGUUUAAAGGGUGUGUAGGCGGGUCUUUAAGUCAGUUGUGAAAUCUCCGAGCUCAACUUGGAAACUGCCAUUGAUACUAUUGACCUUGAAUUCUGUUGAGGUGGGCGGAAUAAGUCAUGUAGCGGUGAAAUGCAUAGAUAUGACUUAGAACACCAAUUGCGAAGGCAGCUCACUAAGCAGAUAUUGACGCUGAGGCACGAAAGCGUGGGGAGCGAACAGG